GAUGAACGCUGGCGGCGUGCCUAAUACAUGCAAGUCGAGCGAACGGACGAGAAGCUUGCUUCUCUGAUGUUAGCGGCGGACGGGUGAGUAACACGUGGAUAACCUACCUAUAAGACUGGGAUAACUUCGGGAAACCGGAGCUAAUACCGGAUAAUAUUUUGAACCGCAUGGUUCAAAAGUGAAAGACGGUCUUGUUGUCACUUAUAGAUGGAUCCGCGCUGCAUUAGCUAGUUGGUAAGGUAACGGCUUACCAAGGCAACGAUGCAUAGCCGACCUGAGAGGGUGAUCGGCCACACUGGAACUGAGACACGGUCCAGACUCCUACGGGAGGCAGCAGUAGGGAAUCUUCCGCAAUGGGCGAAAGCCUGACGGAGCAACGCCGCGUGAGUGAUGAAGGUCUUCGGAUCGUAAAACUCUGUUAUUAGGGAAGAACAUAUGUGUAAGUAACUGUGCACAUCUUGACGGUACCUAAUCAGAAAGCCACGGCUAACUACGUGCCAGCAGCCGCGGUAAUACGUAGGUGGCAAGCGUUAUCCGGAAUUAUUGGGCGUAAGCGCGCGUAGGCGGUUUUUUAAGUCUGAUGUGAAAGCCCACGGCUCAACCGUGGAGGGUCAUUGGAAACUGGAAAACUUGAGUGCAGAAGAGGAAAGUGGAAUUCCAUGUGUAGCGGUGAAAUGCGCAGAGAUAUGGAGGAACACCAGUGGCGAAGGCGACUUUCUGGUCUGUAACUGACGCUGAUGUGCGAAAGCGUGGGGAUCAAACAGGAUUAGAUACCCUGGUAGUCCACGCCGUAAACGAUGAGUGCUAAGUGUUAGGGGGUUUCCGCCCCUUAGUGCUGCAGCUAACGCAUUAAGCACUCCGCCUGGGGAGUACGACCGCAAGGUUGAAACUCAAAGGAAUUGACGGGGACCCGCACAAGCGGUGGAGCAUGUGGUUUAAUUCGAAGCAACGCGAAGAACCUUACCGAAUCUUGACAUCCUUUGACAACUCUAGAGAUAGAGCCUUCCCCUUCGGGGGACAAAGUGACAGGUGGUGCAUGGUUGUCGUCAGCUCGUGUCGUGAGAUGUUGGGUUAAGUCCCGCAACGAGCGCAACCCUUAAGCUUAGUUGCCAUCAUUAAGUUGGGCACUCUAAGUUGACUGCCGGUGACAAACCGGAGGAAGGUGGGGAUGACGUCAAAUCAUCAUGCCCCUUAUGAUUUGGGCUACACACGUGCUACAAUGGACAAUACAAAGGGCAGCGAAACCGCGAGGUCAAGCAAAUCCCAUAAAGUUGUUCUCAGUUCGGAUUGUAGUCUGCAACUCGACUACAUGAAGCUGGAAUCGCUAGUAAUCGUAGAUCAGCAUGCUACGGUGAAUACGUUCCCGGGUCU
rnacentral:rRNA from 1 species